GUUUCAGGACAUCCCCACCCUGGGCCGUGCCCUUCCUCUCGGGUUUGGUUUUAGACGGCGGGUGAGUGUGGAAAUCAAAGCAUCCAGCCGUUCUGCGGGCGGGGCACGCCGGCCCAGAACCAGAGGUACUUACUGAAUGCCAGCUAUAUGGCUGGCACUAUCUAAACACUGUGGAUACAGAAAUAAAGACACAGUUCCUGCCUUCAAGGAACCCCAGUCUAGCAGGGUGGACGGACAAGUAAAGCAAAUGUGUAAGGUGAAAAGUAUCACAGCCAUGAAGUUAAUCUCUUUGUGGACUGGACUUGCAGCGUUCCUGAGUUGUUGGCUUUGUUGCAGUGUUCCUGAGUUGUCGGCUUUGUCUUGUAUACCUAUCAGAAGCCCUGGUGACUCUGCAGAGCACAUUUAAUGCAUCUUCUCAGCUUGCACGCUUUAAUGAAGCAAGCCUGGAGAGGCUGGCAUGGCAAGGAACUGAGGGUGGCCUCUGACCAACAGCCAGCUAGAAGCUGAAGUCCAGUCUCACAGCCAUGCCGAUAACCAUGUGAUCUUGGGAGCAGUUCUUCCCAGUUGAGCCUCAGAUGAGAUCCCAGCCCUGGAUGACGCCUUGACUGCAACCUUAUAAGAGACCCUGAAGCAGGGGACCCAGCUAAGCCAUGCCCAGAUUCUUGACCUACAGGAACUGUGAGACACUAAAAUUGUGUUGUUUGAAGUCA